GUAAGAACCCACGGUGACACAGGUGUCACAAAUACUGGGGUGUGCUGGAAAGGUCCUUUUAAAGCGUUAUCCCUGACUUUUUAACUCAGGAAAUCCCUAAGUAACAUCAACUGAACAGCCAGGUUAGGUCAUGUGACAAUAUGUGAGUUUUGUGUUACCAUGACAUCAUUUCCAAAAUGGUGGUCUGCCUGGCUGGCACAUGUUGCAGUGUCAGUAUUUAUUUAUUUAUUUAUUUUUAAAAAAGGGGCUUGUUUUUGUUACUAAAGGCAAGUGUAGGAAGAUCCAUCCAUGGCUUGAUAGGUUCGCAAACAAUGCCUGGAUAUCACCCCAGAAGAGCACAACUCUAUUAAUGAGCAAUCCUAUGUGAUUUUGUGGUCUAUCAAGGUGACACUGGGGAAAAAACAGCACUUGGCAUAGGAGGUGACAUUGUGGUUGAACUGUGUGAAACUCUCCCAUCAAACCAAAACUACAAAGGAUUUGUGGACAAUUUUUUUUUCCUCUCCAGCACUGGUUCUCCAGCUUCUUCAGCGACAGAUCUACUUUGUAGGAACACUCCAUUGCAAUCGCUUAGCUGGUUGUCAGCUUGAAAAUGAGAAGUUUUGCCAAGCAAGGGACAUGUUUUUACAAUGUUGUUGCACUAUUUACAUGUUUAGCUUGUUGAGAAGACCUCCAGUGUGAGGUAGUUAUUUAUUUUAUUCAGUUUGCACAUAUUCAUGUUUUAAUUUGUGGUUAAGCCUUUCCCGAAAAGUUAUCAUUUUGAUAUGUUAUGGAAAUGCAAGUAAAAAGGCUGUUUUUUUUGUUUGUUUGUUUUUUUUUUCCUUUUCAAAUUAAGUUGUUGUAUAACUACAUAACUAUAACCAUCAAAGUUAUAGUUUUGAGAUGUGGAAAAAAACUCUGAAAAAUUGUUUUUAAACUUAAUGGUCACAGUUAUGUAGUUUUAAAAUAUGUUGUGGUAAAGCAAAUAAAAUGCUAAAACUAUUCUGAAAAAUAUUUUUGUUAUACCUACCCAGCAAAGUAAUCAUUUUCAUAUGUUGUGGAAAAGCAAAUAAACAGGAAAAUCUGUUAUUACGCAAAAAAAAAUAAAAAAAAAUUUCCAGUUGAGGAAUAAACACCCAAUGUAACGUAACAAAAUUUACUCUAAACACCCAAUGUGACAUACAUGUAACAUUACAGAUCUCUCACAAGGAGAAGUUGUAUUUCAAAAACAACUUCAGAAAUGUGUUCUAUGUGGUCCAUUUGGUCAGUUUCAUAUUCCCCAUAUUUUUCCUAAAAGGAGAAAUGGGUCGGGGUUAAGGGACUGUCUUUAACGUUACAUACAACAGUGUUAAACACGUUUCUAACUACAAUAGCAUUUGAAGGGAAUGGCUUACAGUCACACAACCAACUGUAAAGUGUUCAUCUAGGCGUCAGGUGUGACGCACACCUUUUAGAUUUUUUAUAUUUAUUAAAUCAAACUAUUAAGCCAUAUGUAACUUUUUGAGCCCUCAACUUCCCUGUCACAAGAAUAAUCCUGGUUCUUCCUUUCCUCUGUACCAUUGUUUAUUGUGUCCUGAACAUGCAUCAUCAUUACUAGCAUGAUCAUCUUCCCAAUCACAAGGAUAGUCUUCAUCUCUUCUUUCCUUUUGUUUCAUUGAGUUUAUUGUGCCCCUCACUCACCUAAUCAAUUCUCAUCUUUCUCAACAUUUUCUCUCUUUGAAUUAACCAAAAAAAAAAAAAGAGUUUGGGUCAAUACCUAACUGCAUUUUCUAAACCAGGCCUUAAAACAGAAUAUUUCCACAGGAAUAAUGCUUAGUGUUUUGGUAGUAGCAGAGACAGUGUGAAUAUGUAUUGUGUACAUUUUACAUGUACAUAUGUAUGAGAUUAUAUGUAUAUUUCUGUAGACACACAUGAGAGCUCUCUAUUUAGCCCACAGGGUUCCCUUUUAAUCUAUCUUUGCAGCAGCAGCUUUUUGUUAUUUCAGUAUGUUGAUUAUUUUUAGCUGAGUAAAUCUUAGUACAUGCUCAGCAGCAUAGUAUAUCUAGUCCACCAAAACUCAUUACAAAAACUGUCAGGAGUUCAAGAGGUAUACGUAUUAUAUAGCAUUCCUAAGUGGAGGGAAACGUUUAUCCAAAUUUUUACCUAUCGGGGUAAAGAACAUGAGUGUGAGACAUGAGUACAAAUAUAAAAAUGACAUUUUAUUAUGACACUUAACAUAAAUAUAAAGUCACUCUCCCAUGAAGUACAAUAAGGAUUUUAAAACAGCACUUCUACAGGCCCAGGCUUGGCAGAAACAAGGCAGGCCAGCUACAGCUCAGGAGGUCAUCCAAACCCACCUCAAGUCACACCAAAACUCAAACACUACCUACACCAGAGGGAAGUUGUGUUGGCACACUGAGCGUAGCGAAUAAAUGCAGCUAGCUUCCCCUGUCCCACCAAGACUCACUGGCUCCUGGAGAGAAAGAAAACACCGGUUAACCCAAAGUUACACAAACACCAAACAAGAAACAAAGAAAAACAAAUAUUACAGACACCAUGCUGUGGUGGCUAUAACACUCGGGCCCACUGACACCACCACAUGAAAUAGAGCCAGUUAACAGCAUCCAAGCAGAACCAGAAUUAUGGUAAACAGUAAAUAAAAUGAAAAAUAUAGCAACUAUAGCAUGGAAACAAUAAGACUUAACAUACACCCCCUCAAUAGUAAGGUGGUUACGUGGAGAAACAACCCUGAAAGAACAGGUUUGAGGCUGGAAAACACUAAUUUACUAAUUAGCCUCACACCAUCUGUGGUUGCAGAACAUAAACAAAACAUACAUCCAAAACUAAAGUCAAAACAACAACAGCAAACAGACACCAGCACAGCGAACAAUACUAGACAAAGCAAAGCAAUAAGUAAAACGACAAAGAGAAUGACGUUAGAGCAAAACAAUAAGUAGAACAAGAAAGAAUAACGAUAAAGGAAAACAAUAAAUAAAACCAUAAAGCAAAACAGCAGUGGUGUCACAUGUAGCGUCUUCGGCUAGGGAUUUGCCUUAGAGAAGAUUUAGAUGCUCAACUCCUCACUCUUACCAUUGGAUUGCACAAGCACCAGACGUUGUAUGAUUACUCACAGGUACCGCGGCUCGACUUACAUAUACAUAUCAUUCAGCCACCGGCUAAUGUUGCGAUCACUGAACACGAUCUCCGGCGCGAUCUCCGCCGCCAACUCGCCACAAUGCACGCGCG
ensembl:lncRNA